UACAGCUUUUGUUAAGCAUAUCAUGUCUGUCUAAAUGGAGCAUUCAAGAACAAGCAUUGUUUAAGAAGACUGGCUGGAAGCCUAUUUUAAUCACAUCCAUGACUGUCCAGAUCUGUUUACCAGCAUUUAGAAAAACAAACAAUCUGGACUGUUCGAGACAGAAGGACUCCCUGAAUUUUCAUUUAUAUUGAGUUUUUCUCUGAAUUGUAUUCAUACCACGCAAACCAAGUGUCUGCUGCUCUAGACAAGAAGAAUAAAAUAUUGACAA